GUGGGGAAUAUUGGACAAUGGGCGAAAGCCUGAUCCAGCCAUGCCGCGUGUGUGAAGAAGGUCUUCGGAUUGUAAAGCACUUUAAGUUGGGAGGAAGGGCAGUAAGUUAAUACCUUGCUGUUUUGACGUUACCGACAGAAUAAGCACCGGCUAACUUCGUGUCAGCAGCCGCGGUAAUACGAAGGGUGCAAGCGUUAAUCGGAAUUACUGGGCGUAAAGCGCGCGUAGGUGGUUUUGUAAGUUGGAGGUGAAAUCCCCGGGCUCAACCUGGGAACUGCCUCCAAAACUGCAUGACUAGAGUACGGUAGAGGGUAGUGGAAUUUCCUGUGUAGCGGUGAAAUGCGUAGAUAUAGGAAGGAACACCAGUGGCGAAGGCGACUACCUGGACUGAUACUGACACUGAGGUGCGAAAGCGUGGGGAGCAAACAGGAUUAGAAACCCUUGUAGUCC
rnacentral:rRNA from 1 species